UACGUAGGGGGCAAGCGUUGUCCGGAUUUAUUGGGCGUAAAGAGCGUGUAGGCGGCUAGGUAGGUCCGUUGUGAAAACUCGAGGCUCAACCUCGAGACGUCGAUGGAAACCAUCUAGCUAGAGUCCGGAAGAGGAGAGUGGAAUUCCCGGUGUAGCGGUGAAAUGCGCAGAUAUCGGGAAGAACACCCGUGGCGAAGGCGGCUCUCUGGGACGGUACUGACGCUGAGACGCGAAAGCGUGGGGAGCAAACAGG
rnacentral:rRNA from 1 species